rnacentral:misc_RNA from 1 species
CUUGGUUUAGAGGAAGUAAAAGUCGUAACAAGGUCUCCGUAGGUGAACCUGCGGAGGGAUCAUUAACACUAUUUGGCUGAACACGAGUCGAAAGACAAAGGUUCAGUUCAAAUUCUAACCACACUGUUGAACUCGGUUACUUCGCGUAACCAAUCCUCCCUUUGAAGUAGAAAUGGACAUGAAAGUUUGUAGUGGGUUGACGUAAGUCAUCGACUUUCAUGGCCUAUCAAAGCAUUCAUUUGACUUUGAAAUUUCUAUUUCUGAGGCAAUCUUUCCAAUUUCCUCCACUAUAGAAAUGAAACUCAUUUCACACCUUCGUACUCCAAUUGACUGAUCUACGCUGAGUAUCUCGAAAGGGAUUCACAGUCAGCCUUAAGAUAAUUCUUAAACUAAGCACAACUCUUAGCAACGGAUAUCUUGGCUCUC